rnacentral:rRNA from 1 species
UCGCUUGUCUCAAAGAUUAAGCCAUGCACGUCUAAGUACUCGCCUUGUCUAUAAAGUGAAACCGCGAAUGGCUCAUUAAAUCAGUUAUGGUUCACUAGACAGUACCUCAUCCUACUCGGAUAACUGUGGUAAUUCUAGAGCUAAUACAUGCAACUAGGCCCCGCCCGGCGUGCCGUGCUCGUCGCGGUACGUCGGAAAGGGCGCCAUUAUCAGCCCAAAACCGACCGGGUCGCUUCCCUUCCCUUCACCGGGUUGUGGAAUGCUCCCGUCCUUAUACCCUUUGACGACUCUGGAUAACCUGUCAGCGGAUCGCUGGGUAACUAGGUCUCCGGUGGGGUUAGGGUUAAGGGGUUUUCCAACUCUUUUUCCCGCCUGCCGGUCAUGACCUACAGCGACCAGUCUUUCAAAUGUCUGCCUUAUCAACUGUCGACGGUAGGUUAGACGCCUACCGUGGUCGUAACGGGUGACGGGGAAUCAGGGUUCGAUUCCGGAGAGGGAGCCUGAGAAACGGCUACCACAUCCAAGGAAGGCAGCAGGCACGCAAAUUACCCAAUCCCAGCACUGGGAGGUAGUGACGAAAAAUAACGAUACGGGACUCUUAACGAGGCCUCGUAAUCGGAAUGAGUCCGCUCUAAAUCCUUUAACGAGGAUCUAUCGGAGGGCAAGUCUGGUGCCAGCAGCCGCGGUAAUUCCAGCUCCGAUAGCGUAUAUUAAAGUUGCUGCGGUUAAAAAGCUCGUAGUUGGAUUUGGGUUUUCGGGCCGGCAGGCCGCCGCCUUCGAGCGGCGCGUUUCCCGCCGCGCCCCCGGAACCGCACGGUCGCAGAGGCCCCCGCGGUGCUCUUCAGUGAGUGUCCGCGGUCUCGGGUCGCCGAACGUUUACUUUGAAAAAAUUAGAGUGCUCCAGGCAGGCCGGAUAAAGCGUUUUUAAACACCGCGCCUGAAUAGUCACGCAUGGAAUAAUGAAAGAGGACCGGUGGUCCUAUUUUGUUGGUUUUAAGGAUUUUCCGCCGUCAUGAUUAAGAGGGACGGCCGGGGGCAUUCGUACCGCGGCGCGAGAGGUGAAAUUCUAGGACCGUCGCGAGACGAACCGUUGCGAAAGCAUUUGCCAAGAAUGUUUUCCUUAAUCAAGAACGAAAGUCAGAGGUUCGAAGGCGAUCAGAUACCGCCCUAGUUCUGACCGUAAACGAUGCCACCUGACGAUCCGCCAGGGUUACUACCAUGACUCGGCGGGCAGUCCCCGGGAAACCCAAGCCUUCGGGUUCCGGGGGAAGUAUGGUUGCAAAGCUGAAACUUAAAGGAAUUGACGGAAGGGCACCACCAGGAGUGGAGCCUGCGGCUUAAUUUGACUCAACACGGGGAACCUCACCCGGCCCGGACACCGCGAGGAUUGACAGAUUGAGAGCUCUUUCUCGAUUCGGUGGGUGGUGGUGCAUGGCCGUUCUUAGUUGGUGGAGCGAUUUGUCUGGUUAAUUCCGAUAACGAACGAGACUCUAGCCGGUUAAGUAGCCCGAGCGGUUUUUGAUCUUUGCCGUUCAUCCUCGUUCGACCUUCCCGUGCGUCCGGUYUUUUUUUUUUSSGUKKUYUUUUUUUUUUUUUUCCUUUUUACCUGUGGUGCGUUUUCUUUUCUUCCUUCCUCCCGUUUGGUUUCCUCUUUUGCCGUGCGUUUCCGUUCUCGGCCGUGCGUGCCUUUUUAUUCCGUCGUCCCGGUUUAAGGUUCAAGUUUUUUUGUCUUACGGGACAAAAGAGCUACCUGCCCCGGGUGCCGACGGUUGAAAGGGUGGCGGCGGUCGAUACGGCGGAACGUGUGGUGGGGGGGAAUCGGCGGGGUUGGGGAGGUGGGAGGCCACCAUGGGUUCUUGGAUGGGAUUUCGCAAAAUGGGUCGGUGCGUACGCAGGCUCGUUACGGGGUGAAGCAUAACCGAAGGCCGCCGGCUUUUAAGGAAGCUUCUUAGAGGGACGAGCGGCGUUCAGCCGCCCGAGAUUGAGCGAUAACAGGUCUGUGAUGCCCUUAGAUGUCCGGGGCCGCACGCGCGCUACACUGAAGGGUUCAGCGUGCUAGUUUCUCCCGGGCCGUCAGGCUCGGGGAACCCGUUGAAACCCUUUCGUGCUAGGGACAGGGACUUGCAAUUGUGUCCCUCCAACGAGGAAUUCCCAGUAAGCGCGAGUCAUCAGCUCGCGUUGAUUACGUCCCUGCCCUUUGUACACACCGCCCGUCGCUACUACCGAUUGAACGAUUUAGUGAGGUCUUCGGACCGGUGGUCGUUCCGCGACCGGGUUUCGGGCUAGGGGUCUUCGGAUCCUUACCUGCCCGCGCGGGGUCGGCCGGCCGGGAAGAUGCCCGAACUUGAUCGUUUAGAGGAAGA